AGAGUUUGAUCCUGGCUCAGGACGAACGCUGGCGGCGUGCCUAAUACAUGCAAGUCGAACGCACUGACGGAGAACUUGUUCUCUUGACGUGAGUGGCGCACGGGUGAGUAACACGUGGGAAACCUACCCUUCAGCGGGGGAUAACCAUCGGAAACGAUGACUAAUACCGCAUAGACGACAGAACCGCCUGGUUCAAUCGGGAAAGACGGCUUCGGCUGUCACUGAAGGAUGGUCCCGCGCUGCAUUAGCUAGUUGGUAAGGUAACGGCUUACCAAGGCGAUGAUGCAUAGCCGACCUGAGAGGGUGAUCGGCCACAUUGGGACUGAGACACGGCCCAAACUCCUACGGGAGGCAGCAGUAGGGAAUCUUCCGCAAUGGACGCAAGUCUGACGGAGCAACGCCGCGUGUGUGAAGAAGGUUUUCGGAUCGUAAAGCACUGUUAUUAGAGAAGAACAGCCGAUAGAGUAACUGUUAUCGGUUUGACGGUAUCUAACCAGAAAGUGACGGCUAACUACGUGCCAGCAGCCGCGGUAAUACGUAGGUCACAAGCGUUGUCCGGAUUUAUUGGGCGUAAAGGGAGCGCAGGCGGUUUGUUAAGUCUGAUGUGAAAGCCCACGGCUCAACCGUGGAACGGCAUUGGAAACUGGCAAACUUGAGUAUAGAAGAGGAAAGUGGAAUUCCAUGUGUAGCGGUGAAAUGCGUAGAUAUAUGGAGGAACACCAGUGGCGAAGGCGACUUUCUGGUCUAUAACUGACGCUGAGGCUCGAAAGCGUGGGGAGCGAACAGGAUUAGAUACCCUGGUAGUCCACGCCGUAAACGAUGAGUGUUAAGUGUUGGGGGGCUUCCACCCCUCAGUGCUGGCGUUAACGCAAUAACACUCCGCCUGGGG
rnacentral:rRNA from 1 species